CAGUAGCCACGGUAAUACAGAGGAUGCAAGCGUUAUCCGGAAUGAUUGGGCGUAAAGCAUCUGCAGAUGGCUUUUCAAGUCCGCCGUCAAAUCCCAGGGCUCAACCCUGGACAAGCGGUGGAAACUACCAAGCUGGAGUACGGUAGGGGCAGAGGGAAUUUCCAGUGGAGCGGUGAAAUGCAUUGAGAUCGGAAAGAACACCAACGGCGAAAACACUCUGCUGGGCCGACACUGACACUGAGAGACGAAAGCUAGGGGAGCAAAUGGGAUUAGAUACCCCCGUAGUCCCUGUCUCUUAUAC
rnacentral:rRNA from 1 species